AUUGAACGCUGGCGGCAGGCCUAACCCAUGCAAGUCGAGCGAGCGGCGGACGGGUGAGUAAUGUAUGGGGACUGCCCGAUAGAGGGGGAUAACUACUGGAAACGGUAGCUUAUACCGCAUACUAUCGGAUAACCCAUAUGGGAUUAGCUGGUAGGUGAGGUAAUGGCUCACCUCGGCGCCGAUCCCUAGCUGGUCUGAGAGGAUGAUCCGCCACACUGGGACUGAGACACGGCCCAGACUCCUACGGAGGCAGCAGUGGGGAAUAUUGCACAAUGGGCGCAAGCCUGAUGCAGCCAUGCCGCGUGUAUGAAGAAGGCCCUAGGGUUGUAAAGUACUUUCAGUCGGGAGGCGUUACCGACAGAAGAAGCACCGGCUAAAGAAGUGCCAGCAGCCGCGGUAAUUC
rnacentral:rRNA from 1 species